AUCAGCUUUUAGUACAAGUGGGCGUGUUCUUGAUGCUUAUAGGAGUUCUUUAACUCCUAAAAUAGUGCAAGCACUCAUUUGUGCUCAAGAUUGGAUAAGACAAGGAGCACAUAUGGAUGAUAUGGAGAAUGAAAUUGUUGAAAUGGAUAAGUUUGACCUAGAUUUGUCAAAGCUUAGUUUGGAUGGUGUGAUUGACUCAUAAGAUGUCAAAAUCAAUUGAAGAAAUGGUGAGCACUGGGCAGUUGGCAGUGAG